UGGGGAAAUGCUUUUUGGGCCGCGGGGGAUUUUUCAUUGCAGUACCGCAGGUGGCCACUGGAAAAAAAUGCUGCAAGGCUGAGCUCUCUAGUACAUCCACUUUACAGACCGGACUGGAAGCUGAAUCGAUUGAACAGGCAGGCUGCGGUGAAUUUCCUAAGCAAUCAGGACCAGCGUUCCCAGGCAGCUGAGCGAACUCCAUCUCCUGCUCCUACGCUGUGACAUGCAGAUGAAAGCCUCAAGAGAAAUCCAGGCCACGCCACCUGUUAAAUGGACCCUAAUGACGAUAUGAAGCGGCGGCGUUGUCUCUCACUCACCAGGAACCAUUCCAGCAAGCGUGGAGGUUGGGUAGCUGCCCUGGCCUGUGGGGGGAACGUGAGGGGGAUACCCAGUACACGGACUAACAGGCUGUCUCUGGGAAUAUACCGGAUAUCUGUGUGUGGUCAGCUCGCACAACCCGGAUUCAGCUCGAUCAUUCUUUACAUUCUGUCUUUUAUUUCAUUUUUGCCCUCAUCUGCCUUUAUAUCCGCUCUGGAACCCAAGUAGGCCUAAAAUCAUUUGUUUAUACCUUUAUUUCCUCAUUUAAUUUAAAGGACUAAAUGUUAAACCAGUGGCUUAUAUGUAUAAUAUGCAGAUGUAUUGACCUUUUUUUUUACAUUCAGCUGAUGGUGCGAUGAUUCGCAGUGGUCCCAGUCUGGGAGCAGUGGUGUCUGGUUGGAGGUUGGGGGGUGAAAGUGAUGAUCUGUGCGCAGCAGUGCCGCUGAGCUUCUGUAGAUGGCGCUGUAUAGUUUCUCAAAUGUAAAGGUGCUGUCAAAGUCCCGAAAAAAAAAAGAAGUAAAACUUGGGGUGCACUUGAGCGCCUGUGAUCAAACUGAGAAGUGGAAAUAUUCCCCUGGAACAAUUAUCUAUGAGCUGUAGAUCCGUGUCAGGUGUUGCAGAGGAUCAAACAGCUGAUGGCCUCCACCUGCAGUAUGAAGACAUUUGAAAUUAAACUGAACAGUGGUCAGGAGUCACAUGAGAGUCAAGUUCUGGAUUCUGUUUUUAAAAAUCUAAAAUCUGUAAUACAUUAAUUAGAGAAUAAAUAUUUCUGUCAAUAAAUAACUUAUCUUAAAAAAAAGUUUUCAUAAUAAAGUUACAAAGUCUUAAAACAGGGGUGAGCAAUAAA